UGGCGGACGGGUGAGUAACGCGUGGAAAACCUGCCGUAUACUGGGGGAUAACACUUAGAAAUAGGUGCUAAUACCGCAUAAGCGCACAGCUUCGCAUGAAGCGGUGUGAAAAACUCUGGUGGUAUACGAUGGUUCCGCGUCUGAUUAGCUAGUUGGUGGGGUAAUGGCCUACCAAGGCAACGAUCAGUAGCCGGCCUGAGCGGGUGAACGGCCACAUUGGGACUGAGACACGGCCCAAACUCCUACGGGAGGCAGCAG
rnacentral:rRNA from 1 species